GAGCCGACCUUGAAAUACCACCCUUUAAUGUUUGAUGUUCUAACGUGGACCCGUAAUCCGGGUUGCGGACAGUGUCUGGUGGGUAGUUUGACUGGGGCGGUCUCCUCCUAAAGAGUAACGGAGGAGCACGAAGGUUGGCUAAUCCUGGUCGGACAUCAGGAGGUUAGUGCAAUGGCAUAAGCCAGCUUGACUGCGAGCGUGACGGCGCGAGCAGGUGCGAAAGCAGGUCAUAGUGAUCCGGUGGUUCUGAAUGGAAGGGCCAUCGCUCAACGGAUAAAAGGUACUCCGGGGAUAACAGGCUGAUACCGCCCAAGAGUUCAUAUCGACGGCGGUGUUUGGCACCUCGAUGUCGGCUCAUCACAUCCUGGGGCUGAAGUAGGUCCCAAGGGUAUGGCUGUUCGCCAUUUAAAGUGGUACGCGAGCUGGGUUUAGAACGUCGUGAGACAGUUCGGUCCCUAUCUGCCGUGGGCGCUGGAGAACUGAGGGGGGCUGCUCCUAGUACGAGAGGACCGGAGUGGACGCAUCACUGGUGUUCGGGUUGUCAUGCCAAUGGCACUGCCCGGUAGCUAAAUGCGGAAGAGAUAAGUGCUGAAAGCAUCUAAGCACGAAACUUGCCCCGA
rnacentral:rRNA from 2 species